UAUAGACGAGAAAUGAUUUUGCAUGAAAAAUAAAAAAAAAAUUGGUGUAAUAUUUUUUUUUUUAAACUUUCGUUUUCCAAAAAAUUGAUUUUGAAAAUUAAUAAAAUUCGUAGAAUCAUCAUUUAUUCAAUGGUAUAAUUAAUGCCUCAUAAAUUAUAUAUAUAUGCAGUUCUUGGAAAGAGAUUUAUGAAUCAAGUUAAAAUAAAACAUUAUUUAUAAGAGAUAAUUCAAAAUGAAAAAAUUAGAUUGCAAUAGAUAUUAUAUAUGCAAUAGAUGCUAUAAAUAUUUAAAAACGAAUGAAAUUACAGAUUUUUUUAUAAAUAAUUUUUGAAAAAUUAUUAAUAAUGAUACAUAAAUAUGUGUGAAUUGCAAAGAAUGACAAAACAUUUCCAAAAAAAUCCAGAAUUAAAACAGAAGUGGAUAAAAGCAAUAAAAUAUAAUUUUGAGCAAAUCAUCUCAUUUAAAAAUACGUUAAAAUAUUUUACAAUUGAUUGUUUUGUUAAAAAUCUUUGGAAUUCAAAAUGAUUGUUAAGAACUAUAUGAUCAAAUGUAUUAAUAUUAAUUAAUCAAAUAUAUUAUCAAAUAUAUUAUGUGAUAUAUAUAUAGUAUCAAAUAUAUUAUAUACACUUGAAACAUAUGCAACAGAUAUAUUUAAUAUUUCACAGAAUGAAACAAAAAAAUGAAAAUGCAAGAUAUAACUUCAUAAUCAGUAUUUAAAUUUAAUUUCUAUUGUUUUAAAUUUAUAUAACUCUAUUAAUUUAUUUUUAGUUUAAAAAAUGAUGAAUCUGAAAAUAAUAUAUAUAUAUUAUUACUACUGAUAAAAAAAUAUGAUAUUUGAUAUCAUAUAUGAAUACGAAAUCUUUAAAAAAAAAGCUUUAAGAAAGAAAUGAAAAGUUUAUAUUGGUGAUUUUAAAGAAUGUAAUAUGAUAAAUGAGAAAAAAGAUUAUAUAUACAAAAUUAUUGCAACAAUAAUAGUAAAAAAAAAAAAAAUAACAUUACAAUAGAAAAACAAAAGGCUUAUACAAAAAAUUAAAGAUUUUUAUUUUUUAUGGGUAAUUUGAGAAAUGAAUGUAUGAUUACUGAAAAUGUUUCUAUAAUAUUUUUGAUGAUCCAGCAAAAUAUAUAUCAACGAUAGCAGAAAGUACUUAUAUCAAUUGGAAUGAAAAUAAAUGGCGUACAACAAUAAUUGGCAAAUUUGGAACAAUAACCUUGCAAUGGCAAUUUUGGAAUUACCCUUUGGAAACCAUCGAAAGAAUAAACUCUAGAUUAGCUAUUGCUAGGUUUGUAAUAAUCAGAAUGAUAAUGAUUAAGGUCUAUAAAAAUGACAGAAACAAAAGCUUAAUUAUUCAUAUUAAAUAAUAAUUUGUUUAAUAUAAUUAUAUGUAGGUUUAAUAUAAUUAUAUUUAAGCAAUUAUAUUUAGUAAUAAUAAUUAUGCACUCGAACAUUAUUAAUUUAUAUAAUAAUUUAUUGAAUUAUCAUUUUUUAUGAUUUUAUUACGAGUAGCUUAAAUGAUUAUCUAGAUAGAUUAAUCAACGUGGUUUGUGGACUUGUAAUUCUAUUUUUAUAUAUUUUAUUUGUAUCAUAUUAUGUAUUUGUAUGUAUUUGUACGUAUUAUUAUAUUAUAAUAUUUUUAUUUGAACUUGUAUGUGUAAUUGAAAGCGAAUGAUAUAUUAAGUGUUUCUCUUUCUUAACAAAUAGAAUUCUUAGAAUUGUACAUUUUUUAGAAACACUUCGGCAUGGUUAAACGCGAUCUUGAUGAUAUUUUUCAGUUAUCUCAAUCAGUAUUAUUCUAUAUUCGAGAAAAUUUAUUAAAAAUUCUAAAAAUAAAAUUUAAUUCUAGAAAUUUUCCUUAAAUUGAGAAUGUUACAUAACUAAGAGGUUGAUGUGCUUUAUCAACGAUCCGCGAUUCUUUAAGAUGAAUAUGGAGAGGACUUCAGAAUACUUGUUAAAAUUUGAGAAAAAAAUUAGAAUAAUUUUAAACUUUGAACUAUUAAAAUGUGUUUGAAUUCGAACUUAGUAAAUUUGAAUAAAAGAACUGUUAGAAUCUUUUGAAUUCAUUUAGUAACAAGAUAAACUUUCAUUGAAAUAUGAACUUUAUUCUUAAUUGUUUAAGAUAAAAUUUCAAUUAACAAUAUAUAUUUAAUAUACAUAUACAUAAUUUAAUAGUUAAUAUAUAAUUUUAUAAUAAAUUAAUUUUAUUAUUAUAUAUCAUAAAUUCACGAACAGAAUGAAAUUAUUUGUUCCACAAUAUGGGAGAUUAUCAUGGUGAUAUAAGUUAUAGUGGAAAUUAGUUUGAGAAGUUAUAAUUUUUGUAAAAGUUCAAAGCAAAUAAAGUAUCUAAUAAAACUCUCUAAUUCGGUUUUAAGAGAUGAAAUCACGUUUUGAAGAAAAUUUAAAAUUUUCUUUUUAAUGAAAUAUUUUUAAUACGUGUUUAUGUUUUAAAUUAUUAUAUAAUUUUAUGUGAAUAUUAAAAAAAUAUUGUAAAAAAAUUGUAUUGUUUUAUUAUAUAUAUUUAUCGAAUCCUAUUAAAAAUUUUUGAAAAUUUUAUUUGAUUUUUGAGAUAUCAGCACCAUCCUUUAA